CGGCGGACGGGUGAGUAACACGUGGAUAACCUACCUAUAAGACUGGGAUAACUACGGGAAACCGGAGCUAAUACCGGAUAAUAUAUUGAACCGCAUGGUUCAAUAGUGAAAGACGGUUUUGCUGUCACUUAUAGAUGGAUCCGCGCCGCAUUAGCUAGUUGGUAAGGUAACGGAUUACCAAGGCAACGAUGCGUAGCCGACCUGAGAGGGUGAUCGGCCACACUGGAACUGAGACACGGUCCAG
rnacentral:rRNA from 1 species